rnacentral:tmRNA from 1 species
GGGGAUGACAUGGCUUCGACGAGGGGUUGGAUCUCAAGAAUGCAUGCCGAGGAUUAAGAUAACUCGUUAAAAUAUACUUAUAAAAUAUAGUUGAAAACGAAAACAACUACGCUCUAGCUGCAUAGCUAGCCGUCACCUAAAAGUUGUCUGUACUUUUAGAAUGACGGUCGCUCACAGACUCGCUAGGAUUAUUCUUUUCACGUAAUUCGGUUAAAACUUGUUGAAAAUCGCUUACUUAUAUCCCUGAUGGUCGGGUGGUAAGUAGUUAACAAAAAUAGAUCAAGCUAAGCAUGUAGACUUUUUGUUUGAAAGUUUUCGGACGCGGGUUCAAUUCCCGCCAUCUCCACCA